CAACUUUCAACAAUGGAUCUCUUGGCUCUCGCAUCGAUGAAGAACGCAGCGAAAUGCGAUACGUAAUGUGAAUUGCAGAAUUCCGUGAAUCAUCGAAUCUUUGAACGCACCUUGCGCCUCUUGGUAUUCCGAGGGGCAUGCCUGUUUGAGUGUCAUGAAACCAUCAAUGGGGGGACCUCUCUUUUUAGAGAGAGGCCUCCUCCUUUGAAUGUGGAGUGUGCUGGCUUGUUCAGCUCCUCUGAAAUGCAUUAGCGAU
rnacentral:rRNA from 1 species